rnacentral:rRNA from 1 species
AUUGAACGCUGGCGGCAUGCCUUACACAUGCAAGUCGAGCGCGAAAGGGGGCAACCCCGAGUAGAGCGGCGGACGGGUGAGUAACGCAUCGGAACGUGCCCAGUAGUGGGGGACAACCUCGAGAAAUCGAGGCUAAUACCGCAUACGACCCACGGGUGAAAGCGGGGACCGCAAGGCCUCGCGCUAUUGGAGCGGCCGAUGUCCGAUUAGCUAGUUGGCGGGGUAAGAGCCCACCAAGGCGACGAUCGGUAGCUGGUCUGAGAGGACGACCAGCCACACUGGGACUGAGACACGGCCCAGACUCCUACGGGAGGCAGCAGUGGGGAAUUUUGGACAAUGGGGGCAACCCUGAUCCAGCCAUGCCGCGUGCGGGAAGAA